AGACCCGAAACCCGGUGAUCUAGCCAUGGGCAGGUUGAAGGUUGGGUAACACUAACUGGAGGACCGAACCGACUAAUGUUGAAAAAUUAGCGGAUGACCUGUGGCUGGGGGUGAAAGGCCAAUCAAACCGGGAGAUAGCUGGUUCUCCCCGAAAGCUAUUUAGGUAGCGCCUCGUGAAUUCAUCUCCGGGGGUAGAGCACUGUUUCGGCUAGGGGGCCAUCCCGGCUUACCAACCCGAUGCAAACUGCGAAUACCGGAGAAUGUUAUCACGGGAGACACACGGCGGGUGCUAACGUCCGUCGUGAAGAGGGAAACAACCCAGACCGCCAGCUAAGGUCCCAAAGUCAUGGUUAAGUGGGAAACGAUGUGGGAAGGCCCAGACAGCCAGGAUGUUGGCUUAGAAGCAGCCAUCAUUUAAAGAAAGCGUAAUAGCUCACUGGUCGAGUCGGCCUGCGCGGAAGAUGUAACGGGGCUAAACCAUGCACCGAAGCUGCGGCAGCGACGCUGAUGCGUUGUUGGGUAG
rnacentral:rRNA from 1 species